UUGCCAAGGACCAGAAUCCUGCCAACAACCUGUGAAGAGCUUGGAGUCAGGUCUCAGCCCAAUUGAACUGCAGAUUCACUGACAUCGUGAGAGCCCCUGGGCUGGAGAACUCAGCUAAGCCAUGCCUGGAUUCCUGAACCACAAAAUGGUGACAUAGUCUGCCUGAAGUCUGGCCUGGAUUUGUGCGGGUUCUUUCUAUCUCAAUAUUUCCACCAUCAUCAACCGGUGAAAGAGUGAGAAAAAAUAGAUCAGAGAUUGCAAAAAAAUGAAAAAAGAAUUGCAGCAUAAAAAAUUCCUUUAGCACAUCUCAGCUGAGUGGAGAUUGAGGCUGUAACAGCCUGGGUCCACUGAGGAGAGGACAACCACACAGUAAGUUGAACCGUACUCUGGACAUAUCAGCAUUGGAGCCAUAUCUGCACCUGAAGUUGCUGGGGAAGGGAAAAUUGGAGCGGAGAGAAGAAGAGAUACCCCCAGGGCAGCACCCAAGGGUUUGUCCAAAAUGAGGCCAACACAUCACUGGGAAGAUUGUGUGCGCUGCUGGCCAAGAGGUGACAGGGCUCAGCAACCGUUCAAACCCAGUAACUCGGGGGAAAAGCAUUCACACAAUUAGCCCGAGUGUGCAGUGUGAGAAUGGAUUUGACAGUAUGUGAAAGGACUUCCCUGGUGGUGCAGUUGUUGAGAAUCCGCCUGCCAAUGCAGGGGACGCGAGUUCGAGCCCUGGUCCGGGAAGAUCCCACAUGCUGCGGAGCAACUAAGCCCGUGCACCACAACUACUGAGUCUGCGCUCUAGAGCCUGCGAGCCACAACUACUGAACCCACGUGCCACAACUACUGAAGCCCGUGCACCUAGAGCCUGUGCUCCGCAACAAGAGAAGCCACCGCAAUGAGAAGCCUGCGCACCGCAACGAAGAGUAGCCACUGCUCGCCACAACUAGAGAAACCCCAUGCGCAGCGACGAAGACCCAACGCAGCCAAUAAAUAAAUAAAUAAAUUUAUUUUAAAAAAAAUUCAAAAGAAUUAGUCAUAGUAAAUUUACAAUGAUUGUUCAAAUCAUUUAA